UAUAGAUGGAUCCGCGCUGCAUUAGCUAGUUGGUAAGGUAACGGCUUACCAAGGCAACGAUGCAUAGCCGACCUGAGAGGGUGAUCGGCCACACUGGAACUGAGACACGGUCCAGACUCCUACGGGAGGCAGCAGUAGGGAAUCUUCCGCAAUGGGCGAAAGCCUGACGGAGCAACGCCGCGUGAGUGAUGAAGGUCUUCGGAUCGUAAAACUCUGUUAUUAGGGAAGAACAUAUGUGUAAGUAACUGUGCACAUCUUGACGGUACCUAAUCAGAAAGCCACGGCUAACUACGUGCCAGCAGCCGCGGUAAUACGUAGGUGGCAAGCGUUAUCCGGAAUUAUUGGGCGUAAAGCGCGCGUAGGCGGUUUUUUAAGUCUGAUGUGAAAGCCCACGGCUCAACCGUGGAGGGUCAUUGGAAACUGGAAAACUUGAGUGCAGAAGAGGAAAGUGGAAUUCCAUGUGUAGC
rnacentral:rRNA from 1 species